GCCGCCGUAACGUAGAGGCUUAGUGAGCAUGCAAAGCCGCGCAUCCUGGUAGCGUACAGACAUCCACACCUAUAAGGAUGGUAUAAGCCUGUGGAGCCUGGAGGCCGGGUUCAAAUCCCGGCGGCGGCC
rnacentral:tRNA from 1 species